AACAUGGCUAUCCAAAAAUACCGCAGGUAUUUAAAAUUAUAAAGAUAUUAUAAAUAUUGAUUGAUAUUGUUUCCUGUAUAGAGUUUUCUUUUUAGGGAAUUUCUAGGCUUAAAUAAAGCACUUGAGCAAAAGCCAAACCUCACGCUGCUUUUCUUUCCCAGGUUGUUAUCAGUUGGCAGUUCUUUCAAUGGAAUAUUUGUUGGCAGUUCUUUUAAUGGCUAAGAAUUUGCGCAUGGAUUUUUUUAGAUGGCACGAUGAAUGCCCAUGGUUUUUCAGAUGGCACGAUGAAUUUGGCAUAGAUGGACGACUUACGGAAAAGCAGGUGCUGCCGGAAGACAAUAGGCUGUAUUAUGCAAACAAUAGGUUAAAGAAGAGGCACUGCAUUUCAUGGUUAUAUAUGAGUUGCGGAAGAAGAUUGCAUUGCACGGCCAGUAUACUGUAUAUACGCAUUAAAUGUUCAUGCCAUAUCCAAUUAGUGUCGGUUAAUUUUCAAAACGAUAGGGUCGAUACAGUCGCUUGGAAAUUUCAUUAUCAAUUUGUUUAUUCUUUCUAUUAAUUAUAGAAGAAGUGUGCAUUGCAUGGUCAGUAUACCAUUCAUAUGUACCCACUAAAAGUUCGUGCCUUCUCCAAUUAUUGGUUUCGGUUAGUUGUCAAAACAAUAGCGCUGGCGCACUCAAUUUGCAACAAAACGAUAGUGAAAAUUGGUAGUCUGUCAUUCGUGAAUAGCAUUUAACAGUAGCAAAGGUGAUGCUGAUGAUGACAAGCUAUUAUUAAGUAUUUGAUUUUUUUUUAU